rnacentral:rRNA from 1 species
UACGGGGGGGCAAGCGUUGUUCGGAAUCACUGGGCGUAAAGGGCGCGUAGGUGGCGCGGGUAGUCGUCGGUGAAAGCUCAGGGCUCAACCCUGAGUCGGCCGGUGAUACUCCCGUGCUUGAGUGUGGUAGAGGCCAAUGGGAAUUCCGGGUGUAGCGGUGGAAUGCGUAGAGAUCCGGAAGAACACCGGUGGCGAAGGCGGUUGGCUGGGCCACAACUGACACUGAUGCGCGACACGGUGGGAGCAAACAGG